GAGCGCAACCCUACCUUUAGUUGCCAUCAGGUAAUGCUGGGGACUCUAAAGGAAACUGCCUACGCAAGUAGUGAGGAAGGCGGGGAUGACGUCAAAUCAGCACGGCCCUUACGUCCAGGGCUACACACGUGCUACAAUGGCCGAUACAGAGGGCAGCUACCUGGUGACAGGAUGCAAAUCUCCAAAGUCGGUCUCAGUUCGGAUCGGAGUCUGCAACCCGACUCCGUGAAGUUGGAUUCGCUAGUAAUCGCGCAUCAGCCAUGGCGCGGUGAAUACGUUCCCGGGCCUU
rnacentral:rRNA from 1 species